GUGCCUACGGGACGCAGCAGUGGGGAAUAUUGCACAAUGGGGGGAACCCUGAUGCAGCGACGCCGCGUGGGCGAGGAAGUAUUUCGGUAUGUAAAGCCCUAUCGGCAGGGAAGAAGAAAUGACGGUACCUGAAUAAGAAGCACCGGCUAAAUACGUGCCAGCAGCCGCGGUAAUACGUAUGGGGCAAGCGUUAUCCGGAUUUACUGGGCGUAAAGGGAGCGCAGGCGGCGCGCCAAGUCUGAUGUGAAACCCCGGGGCCCAACCCCGGGCAUGCAUUGGAAACUGGCGGGCCGGGAGGGCGGAGG
rnacentral:rRNA from 1 species